AAGGGAAAAGGCACAGGGAGUGACUGUGGAUGGGAUCAGAGCGUUUUUGUUGAGACCUUGUCAGUGUUUGGCAUAUACAGGGCUGCCCUCCUCUGUUGUCUGUGCACCCAUCAGCUCCUGGGAGUCACUUUGAUGAAGGAAUCAGAGGAAAAUUGGAAAAUACCUUCAGCUCGAGGCCUGAGUCAAGUGCUGUUAUUAAUAGCGUGCUUAAUUACGAGUGGCAUCUAAAUCAGGAAUCAAAGCUUUUAGUGAUAUUUAAAGUCAGCAUCACACGCCGAAGAAAUUGUUGGCUGCUGCAAUCAGCAGUGAUGAACAAUCAUUAUGAAGUGCAAAAGGAGCGUUGUUAAUACGAGGCUACAUCUCCAGGCACAAGCUGAAGAACAGGAGGAAGAGCAAAGCAAGAGAUUCCCAUGCUGCGACCAUGGAGCGCAGGAAGCUGCAGAGCUCUGCAGCCGUCUGAACUCCGAGUGAUGUUUGACCUCAGAUGAUGAACAGGAGCUUUGCCUUCUUGCUGUGCAAUGCCAGAUCACCAGAAAAGGCCUUAGCUAAUGCUUGUAAUGAUAUCGUGGCUCAGGUUGGCUGUGUGAGCGGGUUGUGUGCUACUUACCAGCAGAAGGUGAUGGGAUUCAAUGGAGACACAUAUCUAAAUUUCCAAACCUCCAGGAACAACAAAGAACUCUAGUUCCAAGAAGAAAUUCAGGCUAUCUCCUCCUUAAAAACAUGACACUUAUUAAACAAACCGAAACAAAUACUUUUUCUUUUCUUUCUUCCAUGUUCUGCUUCUGCAUGCUGGGACAGAGCGAGAACUGCGGUCAUGGAGUGAGAAGGCUCCUAGAAGGGAUCCUGGACUGCUCACGUCCCCCUCUGACUAUACUGAAGAACAGCUGAGGUUCCUCUCGCUGAAGGGCUGAAUUCGGAUGAGAAAACCACUGUAACACUGGUUCCUGCUAUUCAGUGUGAAUAACCAAAGCCAGGUGAGCACGUAGAUUCUGUGGCACAUACUGAAUGCCUGGAGACCAACAACAGAGCUGAAAUGGAAUUCCUCUAUUUCAGGCAGUCCACCGCAACAAAUAAGGGACUUAACAAAAAGAAAAGCUAUAAAAAUAAAGGAGAAAAAGUGAUUUGUAUUCGGAGGAGUGAUGAGUGCGACUUCAUUGAAAGCCAGCCUAGCACACAUGCAGAACUGCCUGAGUGCAGCUCUGAGCACUGCGUUCUCUGAUCAGGUAGGAACUAUUUGCUAAGUGCAAAAGUUGGAAAAUUUUGUAGCUGUUUAACAGCAAAUCACAAAUCUGUCCUCAUUUAUUUUUGCCAACACAUUUAUUAUCGAAAGAUGGUUUGGUGAGUGCCAUAAGUAC